CCUAGGUCACCUAAUAGGUUGCACUGGCCCUGGAGUGAGGGCAGACGGGGUUGUCUGGCUCGCUGGGCCCCAGAAUGAACCCAGCUGAGGGAUCCCGUUCUAUGUACCUACAAGCUCUGUUUUAGACCGUGUUUCUGUCAUCUAAUAAACCUGUUUUACU